rnacentral:rRNA from 1 species
UACCAGCACCCCGAGUGGUCGGGACGUUUAUUGGGCCUAAAGCCUCCGUAGCCGGUUCUACAAGUCUUCCGUUAAAUCCACCUGCUUAACAGAUGGGCUGCGGAAGAUACUAUAGAGCUAGGAGGCGGGAGAGGCAAGCGGUACUCGAUGGGUAGGGGUAAAAUCCGUUGAUCCAUUGAAGACCACCAGUGGCGAAGGUGGCUUGCCAGAACGCACUCGACGGUGAGGGAUGAAAGCUGGGGGAGCAAACCGG